rnacentral:lncRNA from 1 species
UUCCCCUCCUUCUCCAGAACCCAGUCUCCUAGCAACAGGCCGGCAUUCAUUCAGAGAGGAACCUUUGCAGUGCUUCCAGCACUUCAGUCCUGACAUCCCAGGAAAGGAGAACUGAAGAUAAUUGCCUGGGGAUAUAUUUAGGCCUAAUAAUGACACCUUCCCAAGACUGCUGUACUGUUUACCAAAUGCACAUUGACACUUUAACAAACCAGAGUAUACACUUUUGAAUACUUAAGAUAGUCCCAACCAAAGGAAGAUUUUCUUUACAGCAGAAAGUCUCUAAUAAGUAAUAUAGUCGAUAAGGAAAUUUGCUGAAGGUGAAUUAUUGCUGGGGCGAAGAAUUCUAGAGGAGUUGCACCAGGAAGUAAGCCAAAGAAAGAGACUGAAUCUUGAGCCCCUCCCCUACACUACUUCCUGUUUCUUUUCCCCACUGUCGGGAUGAAGAUCUUCUCACAGAUGUAUAGGUAGAAGGCAAUGGCCAGAGAGGAGAUGAAGGGCUCUGUCUUCCACCUUCAGGCAGAAACAGCUAAGAAGAAUGAAGUCUCAGACAGCUGGAGCCUCCUAACUGCUUCCUUCAAGGUUCCAUUGGAAGUCUCUCCUCCUCCGCUGAUUUGUGUUCCAAAAGUUCUGAACUCCUUUGCUUUGCAGAUCCAUUUUGCUUUGCCCAAAAUAUUUUCAUUUACAGAACUUCUCCCUAAAGAGAAUCUAGAGCUAUGUGUCUUCUUUCUGGAAGCUAGAGGCCAAAAGACACUUCUCUCAACAUUCUGCCAACUCUGCAUCUCAUGCAGGCUUAGGGAAUUAAGUACCAAUCUCUACCAAUGAAGAGAAAUGUACACAUGUGGGCUUUGAUAAGUGGAUUACAUCAGUGAGACUUUACAAGCAUUCUAAUGGAAAAGACCAAACUAACUUGUCUAUUACCGCUUUAUUCAGAGCUGCUGCAUAGUCUUCUAGAUUUUAUGAAGGUUUUCUUUAAGAGAAACUUUUGUUUCUGCCUGGGGAAGCAUCCAUUUCCUGUGAUAAAAUUCACAUUGUUACAGUCCACACCUAUGUAUGCACAAGGAAGAUAAUUAAUCUGUAAAAAUUGUCUUAGGAGAGCGCAUACUCAGUCCUGCACAAGGCAAGAAAGGCACUGACCUUUGAUCCCAACAUUCCUAAGGUUUAGGCACAAACUCAGGUUUCUUUGUCCUCACCUGGCUGAGACAAUCCACACCUCUGCCUUGUUGUAAUGUACACCUGAACCAAUGGCAAUCCACUGUGUCUUCAUUAAUAUGUAUUACAUACCUUUGCAUCACAAUGUCAAUAAAUACAAGCAGCUCACAGCA